rnacentral:rRNA from 1 species
UACGGAGGGUGCAAACGUUGCUCGGAAUCAUUGGGCGUAAAGCGCACGUAGGCGGUCCAGCAAGUCGGGUGUGAAAGCCCUCGGCUUAACCGAGGAAGUGCAUUCGAAACUACUGGACUUGAAUACUGGAGAGGAUCGCGGAAUUCCCGGUGUAGAGGUGAAAUUCGUAGAUAUCGGAGAACACCAGUGGCGAAGGCGGCGAUCUGGCCAGAUAGUGACGCUGAGGUGCGAAAGCGUGGGGAGCAAACAGG